GAAAUGCGAUAAGUAAUGUGAAUUGCAGAAAUCAGUGAAUCAUCGAAUCUUUGAACGCACCUUGCGCUCCUUGGUAUUCCUUGGAGCAUGCCUGUUUGAGUAUCAUGAAAUCUUCAAAGUAAAUCUUUUGUUAACUCAAUUGGUUUCUACUUUGGUAUUGGAGGUCUUUGCAGCUUCACACCUGCUCCUCUUUGUUCAUUAGCUGGAUCUCAGUGUUAUGCUUGGUUCCACUCGGCGUGAUAAGUUAUCUAUCGCUGAGGACACUGUAAAAGGUGGCCAAGGUAAAUGCAGAUGAACCGCUUCUAAUAGUCCAUUGACUUGGACAAUACUUUUAUGAUCUGAUCUCAAAUCAGGUAGGACUACCCGCUGAACUUAAGC
rnacentral:misc_RNA from 1 species